GAUGAACGCUGGCGGCGUGCCUAAUACAUGCAAGUCGAGCGAACGGACGAGAAGCUUGCUUCUCUGAUGUUAGCGGCGGACGGGUGAGUAACACGUGGAUAACCUACCUAUAAGACUGGGAUAACUUCGGGAAACCGGAGCUAAUACCGGAUAAUAUUUUGAACCGCAUGGUUCAAAAGUGAAAGACGGUCUUGCUGUCACUUAUAGAUGGAUCCGCGCUGCAUUAGCUAGUUGGUAAGGUAACGGCUUACCAAGGCAACGAUGCAUAGCCGACCUGAGAGGGUGAUCGGCCACACUGGAACUGAGACACGGUACAGACUCCUACGGGAGGCAGCAGUAGGGAAUCUUCCGCAAAGGGCGAAAGCCUGACGGAGCAACGCCGCGUGAGUGAUGAAGGUCUUCGGAUCGUAAAACUCUGUUAUUAGGGAAGAACAUAUGUGUAAGUAACUGUGCACAUCUUGACGGUACCUAAUCAGAAAGCCACGGCUAACUACGUG
rnacentral:rRNA from 1 species